rnacentral:rRNA from 1 species
GUCCACGCCCUAAACGUUGAUUACUCGUUGUUGGCGAUAUACUGUCAGCGACUAAGCUAAAGCGUUAAGUAAUCCACCUGGGAAGUACGACCGCAAGGUUGAAACUCAAAGGAAUUGACGGGGGCCCGCACAAGCGGAGGAGCAUGUGGUUUAAUUCGAUGAUACGCGAGUAACCUUACCUGGGCUUGAAAGUUAGUGACCGCUCCUGAAAGGGAGCUUCUCUUCGGAGCACAAAACUAGGUGCUGCAUGGCUGUCGU